rnacentral:rRNA from 1 species
UGGGGAAUUUUGGACAAUGGGCGAAAGCCUGAUCCAGCAAUGCCGCGUGUGUGAAGAAGGCCUUCGGGUUGUAAAGCACUUUUGUCCGGAAAGAAAUCCUUGGCUCUAAUACAGUCGGGGGAUGACGGUACCGGAAGAAUAAGCACCGGCUAACUACGUGCCAGCAGCCGCGGUAAUACGUAGGGUGCAAGCGUUAAUCGGAAUUACUGGGCGUAAAGCGUGCGCAGGCGGUUUGCUAAGACCGAUGUGAAAUCCCCGGGCUCAACCUGGGAACUGCAUUGGUGACUGGCAGGCUAGAGUAUGGCAGAGGGGGGUAGAAUUCCACGUGUAGCGGUGAAAUGCGUAGAGAUGUGGAGGAAUACCGAUGGCGAAGGCAGCCCCCUGGGCCAAUACUGACGCUCAUGCACGAAAGCGUGGGGAGCAAACAGGAUUAGAUACCCUGGUAGUCCACGCCCUAAACGAUGUCAACUAGUUGUUGGGGAUUCAUUUCCUUAGUAACGUAGCUAACGCGUGAAGUUGACCGCCUGGGGAGUACGGUCGCAAGAUUAAAACUUAAAGGAAUUGACGGGGUCAUAGCUGUUUCCU